rnacentral:tRNA from 12 species
GGGUGUGUAGCUCAGUGGAAGAGCACUUCCCUCACGAGGAAGGGGUCGUAGGUUCAAUUCCUACCACACCCACCA